AGUGAACGCUGGCGAUAGGCCUAACACAUGCAAGUCGAACGGCAGCACAGUAAGAGCUUGCUCUUACGGGUGGCGAGUGGCGGACGGGUGAGGAAUACAUCGGAAUCUACUUUUUCGUGGGGGAUAACGUAGGGAAACUUACGCUAAUACCGCAUACGACCUACGGGUGAAAGCAGGGGAUCUUCGGACCUUGCGCGAUUGAAUGAGCCGAUGUCGGAUUAGCUAGUUGGCGGGGUAAAGGCCCACCAAGGCGACGAUCCGUAGCUGGUCUGAGAGGAUGAUCAGCCACACUGGAACUGAGACACGGUCCAGACUCCUACGGGAGGCAGCAGUGGGGGAUAUUGGACAAUGGGCGCAAGCCUGAUCCAGCCAUACCGCGUGGGUGAAGAAGGCCUUCGGGUUGUAAAGCCCUUUUGUUGGGAAAGAAAAGCAGCAGGUUAAUACCCCGCUGUUCUGACGGUACCCAAAGAAUAAGCACCGGCUAACUUCGUG
rnacentral:rRNA from 1 species